AUGGUUCAUGUUGGCUGUCAGCCUGCCUGAAUCUGGAAUUAACUGAAAGACAGCUGGACACAGCAGGGAGGGCUUUUCUUGAUCAGGUCAUUCAAAGAGGGAAGACCCAGCAUAAGAGGGUGGAACCUUGGGUGGCAGUCCAGAUAUGAGUGAGGCCCAAGGGAAAAGCUUGUGGACUGAGCAGCUACUGGGUUCUUUGCUUCUGCGGUGUGAAGACAGCCACUGUUGGAUGAACCCAGGCCAUACUGUCCUUGAAGAUGGGCACUGCCUGCCUAUGAUCCUGACGUUCUGGAGGCAAGAGGUACAUGACUUCAAGGCCAGCCAGCUUGGGUUACAUAGUGAGGUCUUACCGAAAAAUGACAGUAAUUGAUUAAAAGUUAAAACAAGGAAGAACA